rnacentral:rRNA from 1 species
AACGAACGCUGGCGGCAUGCCUAACACAUGCAAGUCGAACGAAGCCUUCGGGCUUAGUGGCGCACGGGUGCGUAACGCGUGGGAAUCUGCCCCUUGCUUCGGAAUAACAGUUAGAAAUGACUGCUAAUACCGGAUGAAGUCUUCGGACCAAAGAUUUAUCGGCACGGGAUGAGCCCGCGUAGGAUUAGGUAGUUGGUGGGGUAAAGGCCUACCAAGCCGACGAUCCUUAGCUGGUCUGAGAGGAUGAUCAGCCACACUGGGACUGAGACACGGUCCAGACUCCUACGGGAGGCAGCAGUGGGGAAUAUUGGACGAUGGACGCAAGUCUGAUCCAGCAAUGCCGCGUGAGUGAUGAAGGCCUUAGGAUUGUAAAGCUCUUUUACCAGGGAUGAUAAUGACAGUACCUGGAGAAUAAGCUCCGGCUAACUCCGUG